GUCGCGGGUUACUUCAAUUUCGGCUUGUGCAAGAUGAUGAUGUUCUACUUCGCCUUCUUCGUCUGCGGAAUCGGAGUCUUCGGUUAGUUCGUCCGAUUCAUCGUUGUCCACGGGAAUAGGAGGGGAAGGAGUGACUUGGAGUUGGUAAUCUUCGACCAGUUCUCCUAUGGUUUCAAAUUGACUCGAAGCCGGUGAAGGCGGAUUUACGUUUUCCUCUGGCGGCGCCAUCUCAUGAGCCUUGAUGUGGGAUCUUUAACUCUGUAAAGCCACGUGAGUGGUUGAUGAUCGGUAACGAGAAUAAAUCUAUGUCCGUAUAGCUGAAUUCAAUACG